ACUGAUAUUCCUAUUGAUGCUUCAUCUUGUUGCAAGGAACUUAUCAGAAGCAAUUUCACUGCUUCCAAGGAUCAACAAAGGUAGAUUUCCUGCUCUCAGGUCUGCAGGCUGAAAGACCUUGGAAAGCUGCUGAAUGGAUCAGUCUUUAAAUGGGUUGCACUGUGUGAGCAGUGAAUGCAAAGAAUGCACAACUUUUGGUGAAAUCCUGGACACAGUGUACAAGUCCAGCUGGCUGGUGGGACAGAUGUUCAACUCAGAAGCAAUCCAUAUGAGACCAUCACAAUAGUGAGAACCUGCUUCCAGUAGUGGCAAACAGGGAAAGCAGAGCUGGAACACUUCGUAAGAGAUGGAGCUGCUUCAACUUGCCUUCCUUUCUCCCAGAGCUGUGCAGCCUCUGCUGCCAAAAGCACUCUUCCAUUGUAGCACAUGCAGCAGGUGACACGGUGUUGACCUGAAAAAAUACCUCGUUAAUUACCUGUGCAGAUGACUCCAGACUGGAAGAACUAAGGAUUACCAAGAUAAGGUAGGAGAAAGUAACCUUUUUAAUUAAUAUGCAAUCA